AAUGAAAACGGAACGCAUCGUAGCUUUUGGCAGCUACCUACCUAUCUUAUCUCCGUGUUUCUCUUAUGUGGUUGUAAACAUUUAAUUACCUAUAUUUCUACAUUAUUUCGAACUUUGAUAAAUUAAUGUGUAAAAUCAGUGGAAUAACAUUUUGUGAUAUAUGAAAAAACUAAAGUUUAUCAAAUAUUACGUGAAAAUAGUUUUUGUUGUGACAGGAGUAUAACCUAAAAAGUGUUUCUUUAAGUUAUGUUUUCUUUGCGAAUAUUGCAAUAAUUUUGUGUUAUAUAUAGUGAAAGUGGGUUUUAAUAUGAGUAUAUACGUAUGAUUUAUUAGAAAAGGUGCAUUGUGAAUAUCAACGGAGAAGGCGGCAGUCGUUUAAUGAUCUUCUUCAAUUGGUGAUGACAAAGCAAGGGAAUACACUGUACUUAUACAAUGACCACACAUUCUCUACCAAAGGACGCACGAAGAGAUCCCUAUUUUGUUCAAGAUACUUCAGAGGGAAAUGUCCUGCUAAAUUGACCUUGAACUCUGACGGGCAAAUCAUUUUUCGUAAUACGGCGCAUAACCAUGAUCCUCCUAAAUACACCAUCACAAAAGAUGGUCAGAUUGUGAAAGAUAUAUAUAAGCCCUGGGAAGACAAGAAAGACAAUAUUAGUGCAAAGGUUGAUGUUGAAGAUAGUGACAAAUAUUACUCCGUUCCGAUACGAAAUUUAAGAUCUAAUACCGAUCCUUCUGGGGUAUCCACAACUAACGUUACGCGGUUUUUAAAUUCCGACUCCCCUCCACCUUUGGUGAGAUUUCCGCCACCUCCCAAUCUCACAUGAGAUUUGUCAACGUAUUGUGUUUCUAGUAGCUAGUAUAUGUUCAAAAAAAAAUUAUUUAUUCAAUACUUUCUUUAGUCGUUAGUUUUUGACAAUAUAAUACACAAAUCAAUUUUUAACAUUUUCGCACAGUGUGGGGAAAACAAAUGCAUGACAACUGUAUCUCCAAAGUAUAUUUAGCUCGAGGAGUUCUAUGAGAGGAUCUUUCUCCUAGAACUCCACAUAAUGCAUGGGCAAUACACUUCAAUCAAUAAAAUCAAUAUUAUUCGUAAUACAUAUUAGCCAAUGUUUCAUGUAUCUAAAGUUAAAAUUAUAAAUUGUCUGAUGAUAAUGAAAUUGACAAUUUUAAAUAAUUAUCUGUAAUUAUAAAAAAACAGGGCUCACUACAACAUUACAAAGGCAUAAUAUUGAAAUGUAAUAGUACAUUCUUGAAAAACUUUAGUAACAUUUCUGAAUUAUUGAGGCUGGGUCUAAGGAAUCAUAAAAUUAACAAUUUCCCAUGUUCCGGUCCCGGCAAUUAUAUCACACCAGAGUUAUAUUUUGCAAAGGUUUUUUUAAAAUUAUGAUUUAGCUAAAAAACAAUUGUCUAUCACUCACAUCAAUCUAUGUAUUUUGUUUCCUUGCCGUGUCUUUUUAUAUUCUUAGUACCACGAGGGCAUAAUUGUUUUUAAUUAUUUAGAUUUCAUAUUAUUAUGUUGCAUGAUGACAAGGUCUAUGUACAAGUAAUAGGACGGUCUCACUGCUUCGUUGUACUACGUUACGUCGAUACAGGGCGUUGACGCUCCUUCGUUUUACGUGGGUUUGAAAUUGACGAUGACAUUGUCAAUAUUGCCCUAUUGUUGACGGAGCACAAAGAAGCAAUGACGCCUUGCUCUAAAUCACACGUGCAUUUAUGUUCGUAUUAGUAAUGUUGGGUAGUUAAUUUUAAUUGUGUUUUUGUUGCUUUUUAUUUUUAGUUAAUAAAAUAAUGAUCGCUAAUUUUUUUAUUUGCAUAGCAUGUAAUAAUUCUCCUUGGCGCACGGGCAAUAACUACACGUAGCAAAUAUAAUGAUCCUUAGGGUGGGUUGUACCGUCAUCUUUGACAACUUGAACAUGUGCAGACAAUCGCAAAGUAUUAUAGAACUUAUGCCAUUUUGCCGAAAUGUCAACGACGCGCCGGUUAAAAUCAACGUCAUGUUUGACAACUUUUGGUGCAACUCAAAUCAACUCUAAAUAUGAAUUGUCUACAUUAUGUUUUGUCUCUUUCUGUAAAUGGCAAAUAUUAUAAAGUGCGACAGUGACAAAACAUAUUUUAAUUACCUAAGAGGGAAGGUCUCUAAACAUCUACAAUUUUUUGUUAUACUCGUAUAGCAUGCUAUUUUUACUACAAAUGUAAAAUUUGCAUUUCAAGCUUUGAUACUAAAUAAUCUCCUUCCAAAGUAUAAAGGGUGGACACAGAACAUACAACGGAAAUAAGUAUAUAAUUUUUAUGUGUAUAAUAAAAUUGAAGUCAGUUUUCACGAUAAAGUUAAAAUGUUCAUGCUAAUAAUGUUUACAUUAUAUAAUUUUCUUUAUAUUAUAUUACAUUUAAACGUUUUUAUCGCAUACAAUACCUAACCUAAAUGUUGUAAUUUCAUAACCUGUAUUUACAGAAAUGCUGACGUAUUUACCAAUGGAGAACAACAAGCAAAUCAUUAUUUACAAAGGCUAUAGUUUCUCAUUUCUAAAUAAACAGAAAAAGUACCUUCGGUGCUCGAAAAGGCUAGUUGGGAAGUGUAAUGCUCGAUUGAAAAUUAACGACUUUGGUGUUGUGGUCAUGGAAGAUACACGUCACAAUCACUCUCCACCGAAGUUCACACGUACGUCAAAUGGAUUAUAUUACAAACUGUGAAGUCUGCGCACAAAUUUGUAAGAUAAUUCAGAUACCUAAUAGGCGCAAAUAUUAGUCGCGCAUUUAAAAUUUAACGUAAUUAAAAAUGUAACGAAGCGCAUUUUGUUCUUCAAUUUAAGCUUUCAUCGAUGUUUGUAAGAUAUUGUUUGAACUAAUGUUUUUUCUAGUCUUUACGGAAAUACCGUUCCGAUUUUUCAAAUUUCUUACAGGUAUCCUAACUUAUCUCACAAUGGCGGAUGGCAACCGAAGUGUAGUUUUGUAUAAGGGCUACACGUUUUCUUUCCAAAAUAAGUACAGGAAAAAUCUUAGGUGUUCCAAAAGAAUCAUUGGCAAAUGUAAUGCUCAAGUAAAGUUAGACGCCAACGGUUGCAUUAUCAUGGAAAACACGAACCACAAUCACGCCCCACCGGUGUAUAAACGGACGAUGAACGGAUUUUACUAUAAAGUGUAAUAAAAAUAUGUCAUAUUUUUUAAAUAUAAAGAAAAAUAUUCCAAAGGCUAGACGUAGUAUUUGUUGAUCAAUUAUUUGGAUUUUUGAAAAUAAAAACAUAUGCAUAUGCUAGAAUGAGUUUGAUUUAUUUAACUUGUUUUUGUUCGCAAGCUCCCAUCAACACUGAUGAAAGAAAAACUUUGCAUUAAUGUUUACAAUAAAGCUAUAAACAAUAAACAUUCAUAAUUGUAUUUUCGAGCUUCAAGUAAAAUCAUCUACAAAAUGUACGAUGCAACUGAAAUUGUAAUAUAUCUUUUUUCAGCUCCAUACGAACUUCUUGACGCUAACGGUGAUCCGAUAUCCACCGAAGGAGAUCGUAUUCUUUAUGAAGGCAUUAAAUACAACAAAAUCGGUACUGAUGAAAAUGGAAUAUCGAAUUGGCGCUGUGCUAUUAUUAUGUGUCCCGGAGGGUUUCAAGCCAGGAAUUCAACUGUUCUAAGUAAUAUAAAACACGGCUGCCCCGCUGGCAAUAUAGAUUUUAUAAUAAAGGAAAGAAUCGAAGAAUGCAAAAAAAGAGUUCAAAUUGACAAGCGUUCUAUCACUGUUAUCUACAAGGAAAUUGUAGAUGAAUACAACAAGAGUGGCAAGAACAGAGUUAAAGAAAUGCCCGAUUUUUCUAGCAUCAAGUCGUCCUUAUAUAGAAGUAGGAUGAAAGCAAAGAACAUGAAGUAAAUGUUACUUACUAUCCAGUUACAGUUUUGUAAUUGGUUUAUACAUUUUAACUUUCUUUAUUGGUGUAUUUCAAAAUAAUUGAAAUUAUAAAUUACUAUCCGGGAUACUAGUGUCUCUAUUCUAAUUUACAUUAAACUCGUGUACUUAAUUUCAUAAAAAUCUGUCUUAGUAGACUCUUCGUUACGAGUAACAAACACAGAUCAAUGCAUUCUCACAACUAACUUUCGUAUUUAUACGGUAUUUUAAUAUGAAGUGCGAUAAUUUGGAAGAACGCCAGAUGACUACUGGCCAUUUAUCGGUAGGGGCCCGUGACAUUUGAACUUUUUCAUUAUACUAUUAACAUUUCGAAUUCCCAUCGACAAAAAUCAUACAGAAAAUGAACAGCGCCUCUGUGUAUGGAACUUUUUGUCGAUGGCCAUACCAUUACGCAUUAAGUUCCUGCAAAUUUCGUGCUCGUCUAUAUUUUAUUGACGUUAAACGUAAAUCGUAACUUAAACGUAAGUCAUCGUAACUGCGCCUUUUUGAAAAUCUGGUUUAGUCAGUUUAAAUAUUUAGUAUUCAUUUAAUUUCGAAUGUUGUCAUUUCUAUGUUUAAGAAUAAUCAAACAAUUGAUUUUUUGCAUUUAUUGUUGAAAAUGUUAUUGUAAAAAUUGUGUUUGAAGUCUUAACCCGCCUUUUUGAAAAUCAGGUCUCGUCAUUUUAAGUAUACCUAAUUCAUAUUUUUUAUUAGGUAUGUGCUUUGUUUUGGAAUUAUUCAGUCAUUAUAUAUUACUGCAUGUAUAAUGGACAAUUUUAAAUGUAAAAAUGAUGAUUACAUGCGAAAUUAAGAUUCAUGACUUUCGCAUGUAGUUAUGUGUGUAUUUUUUAAAUGUGCAUGUUAGAUUUUAACUUGUAUUGUUUAACACUGUUCUCUGAAGCAUCCGAUUUUAAUAAAGACUUUUAGAAUAUAUUUGUGUUUCAAUGUUUAGUUUAUGAUUCAAAAUGUUUUCAACAUAUUUUUUUAUUUUCAAUACAUAAUUUAAGAUUGUGGUUCUCGUUUAAAAUAGUUAAAUGCUUGCCUGAUUGAUGUGAUCAUUACCAAAAGAUCUUGAAGUGUUUAUAUUUAAGGUCUUGAAGUGUUUAUAUUUAAGGUCUUGAAGUGUUUAUAUUUAAGAAACGACAUCGUGUUUCUAUCAGCCAAUCGGAAAUUGUCUUAAAUCCGUUGUAGAUACUAACAGCAUUUUCGAGCUUAAACUAAUUGAUUAAUCUGAUUUCAGUUCCAUACGAACUUCUGGAUGCUAAUGGAGAUCCGGUAUCCACUGAGGGAAAUCGUCUCCUUUACGAAGGUAUCAAAUACGAUAAGAUUGCCGUCGAUGAAAACGGAAUAGCAACAUGGCGCUGUGCUAUAUUAAUGUGUUCUGGAGGCUUCCAGGCCAAAAACUCAACCGUUCUCAGUCAAACGAAACACGUCUGCCCCGCUGGCAACAUCGAUUUUGUUAUAAAAGAGAGAAUCGAAGAAUGCAAAAAAAGGGUCCAAAUUGACAAACGUUCCAUUACUGUCAUCUACAAGGAGAUUGUAGAUGAAUACAACAAGAGUGGCAUGAACAGAGUUAAAGAUAUGCCAGAGUUUUCAAGCAUCAAGUCGACCUUGUACCGAUACAGAAUGAAAGUUAAAGAAAAGAAAUCAAAGUAAUGUGUUUAUGAAGUUAUUGUUAAGUACAUGAUUUUUAGUAUUUCUCACGACUGCCAACUAUUUUGCAUAAUAUUAGCUCUCUUCUUGAUCUCUUCUCUAUUAUAAAGUUUUUUAAAUAGGAAGUAAUUGUGGUUGUUGAAUUUUUAGCACGUUAAAUAGCAUUGUAGAUCGUAGACGUCUAACAUAUUUUAAAAAUUUGCUUUUUUUGCAUUUAAUAGUAAGGUAGUUUUAAAUUUAUCAACGAUUUUACUUUACAUGACUUUACCUACCUCACAGAGGUAGGUAAAGUCAUGUAAAGUAAAAUCGAACGCUUGCUAUAAUUAGGUAGGUAUUACGUAAAUGUAGUGCACAUUCACGUAAUUUGCUUACGAAAAAGUAAAUUUGAUGGUAUCAUUACUUAUCUCUUAAUUGUUACAUUAUUAACAUACAAUAUAAUAAGUGUAGUGGUAGUUCAUAAGAAUUUUACAGGAGGUAUUAGGAUACCUUCUGGCCAUAUACUGUUGCAGAACAAUGUAACAAUCUUAUCAAUUACAGAUAUUUUAAUAUUUAAGAAUUUACUUCUGACCUACUCGUAGAUGAACUUACUAUCACGUUUAAAAUCUUUGUAGGUAUUAAGCUUUGUAGGUAUUAAAUAGUUAAGUUUUUUUUUCUAGGUGUAUUUGUAUUGUAACGAAUCAACAAUUUUUUAGGCGAAUUAAUUCAUGCAUGCUGUUUUUAUAACUUUUUAUCUCGACAGAUUUUUUACUAUUUCGUAUGUAUUUUGAGAGUUAAAUAAAUGCUUUUAACCAAGUAAAAAUAUGUUUUAAUGAUUCAUAUAAAUGAUUGACGGAACAUAAAUGAUCAAAUUCAAUUUUGAAAUUUUGUACAAAUUAAUCUAUAAACUAUUAACAUUACAUACGUUCUGAUAUUUUCGUUUUGAUAAAAUAUACUAAAUAACUUAUACGUACAAUAUCUGUUUUUUUAUUUUUUUAUUUCAGUUCCUUUUACACUUGUAGACGAUAAUUAUGGUCCAAUUUCGAUCGAAGACGAUUGCAUAAUUUAUGAAGGUAUUAAAUAUAAUAAAUAUGGAACCGAUAAACUUGGAGUAGCAACUUGGCGCUGUGAAGAUAAUACAUGUUCUGGAGGAUUCACAACCAAGUAUGCAACAGUUAUCAAACAAACAAAGCAUACAUGUCAAAUAGGGAAUGUUCGUUCUAUUGUAAAACUGAAAAUAGAAGAAUGCAAGAGAAGGGUUCAAAUUCAGCCGGAUCGCUUUGUUACCUCUAUUUAUAAGGAGAUCGUACAAGAAUAUAAUGAUACUGGUUUGAAUAAAAUCCAAGAGAUGCCACCGUUUUGUAGUGUCAAAUCAAGUUUAUACAGAAGCAGAGACAAAGUAAAAAAGACAAAAUUACCUAAAAAAGAAUUGUGUAGUUAGGAAAUUGAAAUCGUUUAAAAUUGAAUUGAAAUAUCUCUAAUUAUCGACAGUCAAUGUCGACUAUAGUUUUGAUCUUUUCGCAGACCAUUCUCAGGAUGAGUAUUUAACGUAUUUAAAUUUACUAUGUUUCUUUCUCGCAUUAUAUUUAAUCUAUAAUAUAUUUAAUUUAUAGUAUAAUAGUAGGAAAACGGAUUAUAUACAUUUAUAGUUUUUGUUGUUCUUUUACUAACACCUAUAGAUGUGAAAACAAAUAGACACUAAGAUUAUGUAUAUAAUGUUCCAACUUUUUUAUGUAACUGUGUGAUUUUGUUUUAGAAACACCAUUUAUUUUAUGCUUCGUGCCGCCUGAGACCACUUCAAAUGAAUUAGAUAUAAUAACUUCAAGUAGAGGAAACGACCUACUUAUCCACGAUGGAUAUAGUUACAUUAAACGUUCGGUACAUAAAUCUGGUAGAAUAAGAUGGCGCUGCACUGAAAAGAAAAUAUGCAGCGCGGGAAUCAGUACUUUGGGAAAUAAUAUUUUGAAACGCUCCCAGCAUAAGUGCAAAGCGAGUAUAGUCAAAAAUGAGAUUAGGAAGAGAAUACAAUUAAUGAUGAAAAGAGUUAAAGAAGAACCUUAUGCGAGUCUUCGAAGUAUCUACCAAGAUCAAGUGAACAAAUAUAAUGAGUCUGGUUUUAACCUAAUUAAAGAAAUGCCGAAUUUCACCGGUGUGAGAUCAAUGUUGUAUAGACAAAGGAUUAAAGCUUUAAGAAAUCUCAAAGACACAAUUUCAAAUGCUGAUACGUCGGCAUUAUCUACGAUCUAUGAGGUCUUUUUGGAGGACUACGAACUUGAUUAGUAACGUUACGUUUGUUGUUAUCAUUAUUUUAUUCAUUUUGUUACAACUUGUGCCUGAAAUAAAGAAUUAUUAAAAUUAUUAUUGCAAUUACAGAUUUCAUCUCCCGUGACACGAUUAUACGAUAUUGAAGUUUAUUUACACCUGAUUUGAAGAUAAAUAAUUAUGUAAAUUCUUAUAAUAAAGUUAUCUUCUGUUUUUAUUUUAGAUUCAUAUGACGAUAAGGAUGCACCUUUUAAAAUAAUCCCAUCAAAUAAAGGAAGUCCACUUCUUAUUUACAAUGGCUACAGAUACACAAAGGCCAAAGUUUGUUUAAAUGGCCAAAUCACCUGGCGUUGUACAAAAAGAAAAAUUUGCAGCGCUUCUUUAGGAACUAUGGGGAAAGUAAUCACGAAAGAGAAGCCACAUAAAUGCGAAAAAAAUACCAUAGAGAAUGAAAUUAAAGUAUUUGUUAAAGAAUGUAUAACUAGAGUAGAAAAUGAACCUACGCCCUUCCGCACAAUAUAUGACAAUGCUGUGUUUGAAUACUGCAAACGUGGUUAUGAUACUAUUAAAAAGUUUCCUAGCUAUAGUAGUCUGCAGGACACUUUUUAUAGGCAUAGAAAGCGCGCGUUGCAGACCGCAGGACUUUAUGAGUAUUUUGACGACGCUGAAUCUAAACAUUCAUCGGAAUCUACAUCGGCAGAAUAAAUACAAAAACUGUCAAUUGUAAUUUUCUUACAUUCAAUUUGGUAACAUUAGGUCAUGGGACUUGGUUCAUAGGUAGCAUUGCGGUCACUUACAAGUUUGAAUUUUUCCACAGCAAAAAGAUUACGUAGACUCAAGUGUUUGUUUUUUUUUUCAACUUGAUACCUCAUACGUUCCUGAGAAAAAGCGUCUUGAUUGACGUACAAAUUAUGAGCAAGCAUUUUGUUGCUGGACAAUAAGGUGAUUCAGUCCCGUUCUGAUCCCGUUUUUACUACAAGUAAAAAAUAUUGUUAAGUUAAAAUAUACUUUUUAAAUUUUCAAAAGAAAAAGUUUUCUAUAGCAGAGACACGAUAAGUGAAGGUGCUGCAGAUGGUCACCCUGCAGUAAAAAUACGUUAUGAUAUUUCUAUAAAUGUAUUAUGUAAUACUUUCUUAUGAAAUAAUUAAUAGGAAAAAUAUUUAAAAUGUUUUGAAUGUGUUAAUGUUUUAUACAGUCUCGUAUUCUGGCUAGAAAUGACACGAAAAGUGUGUUUUCAAUGUAAAUAAAUUGAAUCUAAAUAAAUUUCUUAUUUUGUUUUUAUUAUGUGUUUUUUCAGUAUAGCCUAGUUCAACUUUUAAUACAUUUCUUUUGGGCAAUCUAGACUUUGAGUUUGAGCGUGCGAGUAAGGACAAUACCUUUUGUUUUCACUCGCAUACUUUAAAAUUUUUGCUAGUAGCUCGCCAUUUUUAUACUAUUGCCCGAAAAGGAGUGUUAUGUUUCAAGUUUCAUGUUCUGUAUGUAUGUGAGAUUCCUUAUUACACCUUAUAUAUUACCUCCUAUAUACCUUGAAUGGAUGAGCUAUCCUUAGAUUUUAUUAUUCUGAUUCGGGGUAACAGGCUUUACGAUUGCUUUAUAAAUUGUUGUAAAAUUGGGUAUUCAUAUGCUGAGUUCACAUUUUCAUUUCUUACAGCUGAAGUUGACUACGAAGGUGCACCAUUUAAAGUGAUUCAGUCAAAUAAAGCCGAAGUUGACUACGAGGGUGCACCAUUCAAAGUAAUCCAGUCAAAUAAAGGUAAACAACUUCUAGUUUAUAAUGGCUACAGAUACACAAAAGCCUAUGUUUAUAAAAAUGGCCAAAUACGUUGGCGAUGUGUGAAAAGAAAUAAUUGUACCGCAUUCAUAGCAACUAUGAACAAAUUAAUACUUAAGGAAGAAUCUCACAAUUGCGAACAGAACAAUAUAGAUAAUGAAAUCAAGAUAAUAGUGAAGAAAUGUAUUAAGAGGAUUGAAAGCGAACCCACUCCUCUUAGGACCAUAUACCAAGACGCUGUGGUGGAAUAUAACAAGACUGGUUAUAAUACAAUUAAAAGCUUUCCUAAGUUCAAUAGUCUAAAGAACAGUUUCCACAGACAUAGAAAACUUGCUUUACUAAAAGCAGGACUGUCUUUUGCACGGACUCAAAAUCAGCAACAAAAACAGAAUGUAACAUAAUAUACUUCGCCUCAACUCAAAGGACUUUGUCUUAGUAUCAUUGUAAACUAAAUGGAAAGUUUUAACUAAUUUCAACUUAGAGAUUUAUUACAUUUUAAAUAAAGAGCCUGUAAAGAUACUAACCUUAUUAGUUAACUCAAUUCUUGUGAAUGCUGUCCCAUGAAGCUGAUUAAUCUAUUAACAUGUUUAUAUUGCUUUAGGUAUGAAGCAGGAGUUUAUCGAUUGCAAACCUUUUACUGUUAUUAGUACGGAGCGGGGCCGCGAUCUUCUUCUUUGUAACGGUUAUAUAUAUACAACAUUCAGAAUUUAAAAAAAUGGUCACCUUGUUUGGCGCUGUGUAAAUAGGCCUACUUGUAAUGCAUUACUUUUAACCCAUGAAUCGUCAUUCAAGAAAACAUGCAUCGGUGCAUACCAGACGAAGCAGAUAAUGAAAUAAGGAAAAAACUAAAUGAAUGUCUGCGCAGGAUUCAGGUAGACUCUACACCAUUUCGUCAAGUUUAUGCAGAAGCAGUCGAUGAAUAUAACAGAAUGGGUUUUAAUGCCAUCAAACCGAUGCCAAGUUUUGAUUACGUCAAGUCAACGUUUUAUCAACGCAAAAGGAGAGCUAUACGGAAGACUAUGAAAUAUUUUGACAGUGAGUCUGGGUGCUCUGAUACUAAAUUAAAUAAUUAAGAAAUUGUAAUAGCAGACAUUUUAAUUAGAAUCCUGUGUUAUACUGAAUAAAUAAUAUAUUAUGUAGGUACAUUACUUACUAAUAAAGAAAUUACCAUAAAAGAAAUAAAAAUCUCACAGAGCAACAAAAAGAAGUACAACAAAAAAAUGUGGAGAGAGAGAGAGAAAGAAAAAACAAUUCCAGAUAUAGAUUAUUAGAACGUUUUUGUCCAAAAAGAAAGUAAAAAAUAGCUUAGUAAAUCUUUUCAAUGGUGUAAUAAUAAACAUUAAAACGUCUACAAACACUAUAGAAAAACAAAUUGUGAUUUUGUGAAUUGACUAGUCUAAUUCAAACUUUUAUAGAACAGUCUUGUCUAAAAGGCGUGUGUGAUGGUUGUCAUCAAUGUUUUUUUUUUAAUUUGUCAGUUGUUGCAUUUAUUUUAUCUUAGUUAUUUUAAUAAUACAUUUUAUUUAGUUGGAGAGGGUUAAUCAAGCUUGACUUUUCCUUAGUCUUACUUCGGGUUUCAAUAUCAUCGGAUUUGCCGUAAAGGAGUUAAGAUUAUGCUACUUAAUGAAUUUAUUAAAAUAUUUAAUUUUGCUUUAGGUAUAAAGCAGGAGGUUGAUGACUGCAAACCUUUUACUGUAACAACCACGACUCGGGGUCACGAUCUUCUUCUCUGUAACGGUUAUAGAUAUACGAAAUUCCGUGUUAAAAAAAAUGGUCACCUUGUUUGGCGCUGUGUCAAAAGACCCGCGUGUAAUGGAUUAAUUUUCACUCAUGAAUCAACUGUCAUUCGUGAAAAUAUGCAUCGGUGCAUACCAGACGAAGCAGAUAAUGAAAUAAGGAAAAAAAUAAAUGAAUGUCUGCGCAGGAUUCAGGUAGAAUCUACACCAUUUCGUCAGGUUUAUGCAGAAGCAGUCGAUGAAUAUAACAGAAUGGGUUUUAAUGCAAUUAAACCGAUGCCAAGUUUUGAUUACGUCAAGUCCACGUUUUAUCAGCGCAAACGGAAGGCAAUAAGGAAAACGAUGGAAUAUUUUGACAGUGAAUCUGAGAAUUCUGAUAAAAAAAAUGAGAUUAAGAAAGAGUGAAACAUUGUCAUAAUGUAGCGUUAUUGUUACUAUUUAAUUGUAUAAGUAUAAGUAUAUUUAUUGUAAUUUUUACCAUAGUCUUUAUUAAAAAUAUUUAAAACUGAAGGCCUUUUUCUUGAAUAAGAAUUUAUUUCGUUCAAUAAGACUUUUCUUCUAAUUUAUAUAAAUACAGUUUAGUUAAAUCUGAUAUUAUCUCGUUAAUAUGGCGCUCUCUGCUCACUAGCGUCCCAAUCACAUUUUCAUCGUUACCAUUUCUUAUAAUAAACAGCGAAAACUAAAAAAUAAAAUUCCACAGGAGAUCAUUCUAGACGAGAUACAUACCUACAUCACAUAGUUUCCAUUGUUCAAAAAUAUAGUAGUACUAAUUUAUGACAUAUUUUGGUCCAACUGUCUAAUACUAGUAGAAAUCUAUAAUACUAUUUAGUAAAAUCAAUUAUCUAGUGUAAAAAUGAUGGUGGCGCUAGUGUGCGGGUAAAUGAAUUGGCCGAAAUCCUCGAGCUUGUUUUAAUGUAUUUCUGAUUGCAGGUAAAACCAUGUGGGUUGACGUGAAUAAUACUGCACCAUUUACCAUUAUUUCCUCGAUAAAAGGCCAUGAGCUUCUCCUUUAUAAAGGUCACAGAUAUACGAAAAAUCGGGUAAAUAAAAAUGGCGACAUCGUGUGGCGUUGCUGCCACGUCAAGACGUUGUCUUGUUUCGCAACUGUAAACACGCGUGGUAAAGUGGUUCUUAAGGAAAAUGAACACAAAUGUCAGGCGGACGAAGCUGGAAAUGAAAUUAAGAAAAAAAUAUACGAAUGUCUUCAAAGGAUACAGCGUGAAUCUACACCCUUUCGCAAGGAUCAAGUAUCAUUGCUGGUGGCAUCAUUUCUAGAAGAAAAGGAAGCUGUGGGUGACUUGUAGGUAUAACGAAAGAAGGCUUAAAAAAUAGUACACUAGUUAGCAUCAUUUCGUCUACUCGAGGGCAGGACGUGCUUCUUUAUAAGGGUUAUAGAUUCACAAAACGUCGCGUAAAUAAGGAUGGUUCCAUUGUAUGGCGUUGCAUCAACAGUAGAUACGAACGAGGUUGUUACGCGUCUGUCACCUCUCAAGGCACAGAGAUAAUAAAAGAAAAUACACAUAGAUGCGAAGCGGAUGAAGCAGAUAAUGAAAUCAGGAAAAAACUCGAUGAAUGCCAAAAGAGAGUACAGCACGAAUCUACACCAUAUCGUCAAAUUUAUGCAGAUGCAGUCAAUGAAUAUAAUAAAAUGGGGUUUAAUGCUAUAAGACCUAUGCCGAGUUUUGCUUCUAUCAAGGCUAGAUUUUAUAAUAAAAAAAAGGCAGCAAUCAAGAAAACGAUUGAGUAUUUUGAUAACUCCUCUAGAGAAUAUUCUAAUAUCAAUGAAUUGCCUGCGUCCAGUGUAGAUUGAAAUACUACAUGGCCAAUACUAGAUUGGACUCACAGUUUUCAAGAUGCUCUAAGGCUUACAAUUUACUCCCUUCUACACCGAAUGCAUGAUACUGCAUCUUUAUAUUUUUGUCAGACGCCAGGGCAUAUUAAGUUAAGUUUGUAACUUAUUUUCUGGUACCCAGGAGUUAAUGAUAAUCCAAUAGAUGUUACGACUAACUCCAUUUAGCUCACCCUUAUAAGUCCCGUAAUGUGCUUGAAAUAAAUGAAAAUGAUUAAAUGGUUUGUUAUUUUACCAUAUUUUUAAAAAAUUUAAAUAAUAAGAUUGUAUGCUAACAUUAGGGAAAAAAUAAAAUAUUAUAAGUUUUUAUUCCCUUGUGGGGGAUUCUUCAAAGACUAGAAACAUUUUAAGGUUGACUUUAAGUUUUACCAUUUGAAAGUUGCAAAAUAUUUCAGAUCGAAGUGUCUGUUAAAUAUUUUAAGGUGUGUGCAUGUAACUUCUGUUACAAUGACGGAGGAAUACCUCGUGUGACGAAGUCUCCAGUGCACGAGUCCAACUUGCUGAAGAUCAGUUUUCUUAAACUAAUUUUAAGGUUUUUUUUGAUAUAAAAGAGGUGGAAUAUAAUAAUAACCCGCCAUGUAACAUUCUUUCUUCGGGUCGAGGGGGUCGAGAGGAAACUCUCUUAUAUAAAGGCUACAGAUUAUCUAAAAAACUAAUAAGAAAGAAUGGAAAUUUUGUAUGGCGUUGCAACAAUUAUAAGACAAUGUCUUGUCACGCGACCGUUACAACUCGUCGCGGAGUUAUCAUUAAAGAAAAUAAACACAAAUGCCAAGCAGAUGAAGCUGAAAAUGAAAUUAGAAGACAAAUUGAUUAUUGCCUUCAAAGAAUUCAGCAUGAAUCUACACCCUGUAGCCAGAUAUAUGUAGAUGCGGUCAAUGCAUAUAACAGAUUGGGUUUUGAUGCAAUUAAACCUAUGCCUAGUUUUAGUUCUGUCAAGACUAGAUUUUAUGAAUAUAAAAAAAAUAAAUAGAAAACAUUUUUAUUUAAUAAAGAUUGAAAAUUGUAGGUGUGGUUUAUUAAUAUAAAAUAAUUUACUAUUUUUCGAAGAUCCACAAUUUUUUUUCAUCAACUUUAAAACAAAACGUCAAGUACCAUCAUGUAGUAUUGCGAAGGUCCUCAGCAUUCAUCUUUUUCAUUAGUAUUAAGUAUGGCAUCGCAGCGCAACGUAAUUUUUUCGAUUUACCAAGAAUAAUUUUUAAGAACUUUCUAAUUUAUUCCGAUCCAUCCCGUUACAUCUUGGAAUUAAUUGGCAAUCAGUCGAUUUUAUUUCUCCGUAACAAAUUUUUGUGUGUUAUAUGUAAGGGAUUUUUUCAGGUACAAAGAAAGAGGACUUAAAAAAUAGUGCAUUAAUUAGCAUUAUCUCCUCUCAACGAGGCCAGGACGUGCUUCUUUAUAAAGGUUACAGAUUCACGAAACUUCGAAUGAAUAAGGAUGGUACUCUUGUAUGGCGUUGUAUAAACAGCAGCAGGCGCGACCAAGGUUGUUAUGCAACACUUACUUCUCAUGGUACAGUAAUAAUUAAAGAACAAAUACAUGUAUG